rnacentral:lncRNA from 1 species
GUCGGAGGCGCGGGACCGCGGGGAGCGCGGGUUUGACCCGGAGCCGCGAGGGACGACCGGGAGAUGCUGGAGAGGAGCGUUCCACUGCUGCCGAGGUUGGAGAUCCAAGAGCAGGGAUGAAUUUAACUCCCCCUCCCUCUAGCGUGCUGUAUACCGAAACAGAGUGAAAGUGAUCCAUAAACUUACGUAGUUUAUUCGAUCAACAUGAUUGGCCCGCCAGCCCCGGAAGACUGUGCAGUCUUUGUAACUGAUGAAGAGCAAGGCUUUGUCUCUAAUUCUGCCCAGUUAAAGUGCAGGCGUUAGGCUAAAGCUGGGACAAACCUGGAGCGGCUUCAUUGGCUUUCCUACUUCUUUUGCAUCCCAAAGCAUAAGCUUAAAUCGUCUCAGAAGGACAAGGUCCGCCAGUUUAUGGCGUGCACUCAGGCUGGCGAGAGAACUGCUAUCUACUGCUUAACGCAGA